rnacentral:rRNA from 1 species
UACGAAGGGAGCAAGCGUUAUUCGGAAUAACUGGGUGUAAAGGGCGUGUAGGCGGCCUACUAAGUCAGCUGUUAAAGACCACUGCAUAACGGUGGGGCAGCAGUUGAAACUGGAAGGCUAGAGGACAGGAGAGAGAAGUGGAAUUCUCGGAGUAGCGGUAGAAUGCGUAGAUCUCGAGAGGAACACCAAUGGCGAAGGCAGCUUCUUGGCCUGUAUCUGACGCUAAGGCGCGAAAGUGUGGGGAGCAAACAGG